rnacentral:rRNA from 1 species
CAGCCGCCGCGGUAAUACGAAGGGUGCAAGCGUUAAUCGGAAUUACUGGGCGUAAAGCGCACGCAGGCGGUCUGUCAAGUCAGAUGUGAAAGCCCUGGGCUCAACCCAGGAAGUGCACUUGAAACUGCGAGGCUAGAGUACUGGAGAGGUUGGUGGAAUUCUCGGUGUAGAGGUGAAAUUCGUAGAUAUCGAGAGGAACACCGGUGGCGAAGGCGGCCAACUGGACAGAUACUGACGCUGAGACUCGAAAGCGUGGGGAGCAAACAGGAUUAGAUACCCCGGUAGUCCCUGUCUCUUAUAC